AAGGUUGGACACCCUGCUCUGG
rnacentral:piRNA from 1 species